rnacentral:rRNA from 1 species
UAGGGAAUCUUCCACAAUGGACGCAAGUCUGAUGGAGCAACGCCGCGUGAGUGAAGAAGGUUUUCGGAUCGUAAAGCUCUGUUGUUGGUGAAGAAGGAUAGAGGUAGUAACUGGCCUUUAUUUGACGGUAAUCAACCAGAAAGUCACGGCUAACUACGUGCCAGCAGCCGCGGUAAUACGUAGGUGGCAAGCGUUGUCCGGAUUUAUUGGGCGUAAAGCGAGCGCAGGCGGAAGAAUAAGUCUGAUGUGAAAGCCCUCGGCUUAACCGAGGAACUGCAUCGGAAACUGUUUUUCUUGAGGGCAGAAGAGGAGAGUGGAAUUCCAUGUGUAGCGGUGGAAUGCGUAGAUAUAUGGAAGAACACCAGUGGCGAAGGCGACUCUCUGGUCUGCAACUGACGCUGAGGCUCGAAAGCAUGGGUAGCGAACAGG